rnacentral:misc_RNA from 1 species
ACUUUAUGUUCAUGAUUUAUCUGGAGAAUGUGGGAUGUCACCUUCUGAUCAGUUUGUGAUCUAUAAGGAAAUGCGAGAGAGAUUCAGCAGCCAUAUUUGGCUUGAUGUCGUGUCCAAAUGUGACUUACUGCAAGCAUCUCCUGUCAUCUUUGCAACAGAUGAUUGUAAUGUUGAUAACUUUGAGCUGGUGAGGUAUAGGAAGAUGGGACCUGAUGGAGCCCUAAAUGUGUCGGUAAAGAAUGAGAUUGGUCUUCAUGAGUUGAAGAAAAGAGUUUACGAGCUGCUUGUUUCUCAAUCAGAAAGGAUCAAAAAUCAACAGAGCAAGGAGGAAGAGCUGGAAGUUCCAAGCUAGUUCGUCUAGUGAAAUUCCUACCAGAUCUCUAACCUGCUGGUAAUUAGCUGCAGGUUUUCGCGCUUGGUCCAAGAAUAUGACAUGUUUCGACGCGUAUUUCUCGUGCAGUUGGACAAUGAGGUGCUCUAUAAGAUACACAGAUAUUCAGAUCAUUUGUCAAAUGGUGCAGAUGGGGUUGCCAUAUUCUGUAAGUUUUAGUUAUAGCAAUCUUUGAUAAUUUUUCUUUGGAAAAAUCUCUCAAAUGCUUUUUAAAUUUGAUUUAUUUUAUCUUUUUGUAAAUGUUAUUAAAAAUUUCUCUUA